rnacentral:rRNA from 1 species
GCUUCUCUUGAGAGCGGCGGACGGGUGAGUAAUACCUAGGAAUCUGCCUGAUAGUGGGGGAUAACGUUCGGAAACGGACGCUAAUACCGCAUACGUCCUACGGGAGAAAGCAGGGGACCUUCGGGCCUUGCGCUAUCAGAUGAGCCUAGGUCGGAUUAGCUAGUUGGUGAGGUAAUGGCUCACCAAGGCUACGAUCCGUAACUGGUCUGAGAGGAUGAUCAGUCACACUGGAACUGAGACACGGUCCAGACUCCUACGGGAGGCAGCAGUGGGGAAUAUUGGACAAUGGGCGAAAGCCUGAUCCAGCCAUGCCGCGUGUGUGAAGAAGGUCUUCGGAUUGUAAAGCACUUUAAGUUGGGAGGAAGGGCAUUAACCUAAUACGUUAGUGUUUUGACGUUACCGACAGAAUAAGCACCGGCUAACUCUGUGCCAGCAGCCGCGGUAAUACAGAGGGUGCAAGCGUUAAUCGGAAUUACUGGGCGUAAAGCGCGCGUAGGUGGUUUGUUAAGUUGAAUGUGAAAUCCCCGGGCUCAACCUGGGAACUGCAUCCAAAACUGGCAAGCUAGAGUAUGGUAGAGGGUAGUGGAAUUUCCUGUGUAGCGGUGAAAUGCGUAGAUAUAGGAAGGAACACCAGUGGCGAAGGCGACUACCUGGACUGAUACUGACACUGAGGUGCGAAAGCGUGUGGAGCAAACAGGAUUAGAUACCCUGGUAGUCCACGCCGUAUACGAUGUCAACUAGCCCUUGGGAGUCUUGAACUCUUAGUGGCGCAUCUCACGCACUUAGUUGACCGCCUGGUGGAGUACAGCCC